rnacentral:rRNA from 1 species
UACGUACCGUCCAAACGUUAUUCGGUAUCACUGGGCUUAAAGCGUUCGUAGGCGGCCUAGAAGGUGUGAUGUGAAAGCCCACGGCUCAACCGUGGAACUGCGUCGCAAACCACUAGGCUUGAGGAAGACAGGGGUGAAGGGAACUUAUGGUGGAGCGGUGAAAUGCUUUGAUAUGAUAGGGAACACCGAUGGCGAAAGCGCUUCACUGGGUCUUUUCUGACGCUGAGGAACGAAAGCUAGGGUAGCACACAGG